rnacentral:tRNA from 1 species
GGGUCGAUGGCGUAGUUGGUUAUCGCAUCUGUCUAACACCUUCUCCGGCUUUCAGCUGGUUGGUCACAGAAGGUCCUCAGUUCGAACCUGGGUCGACUCA